ACGGGAGGCAGCAGUGGGGAAUAUUGCACAAUGGGGGAAACCCUGAUGCAGCGAUGCCGCGUGAAGGAAGAAGUUCUUCGGAAUGUAAACUUCUAUCAGCAAGGAAGAAAACGGACAGUACUUGACUAAGAAGCCCCGGCUAACUACGUGCCAGCAGCCGCGGUAAUACGUAGGGGGCAAGCGUUAUCCGGAAUUACUGGGUGUAAAGGGUGCGUAGGCGGUAAAGCAAGUUAGAUGUGAAACCUCAGGGCUUAACCCUGAGCAUGCAUCUAAAACUACUGGACUAGAGUAUAGGAGAGGAAAGCGGAAUUCCUGGUGUAGCGGUGAAAUGCGUAGAUAUCAGGAAGAACACCGGCGGCGAAGGCGGCUUUCUGGACUAAAACUGACGCUGAGGCACGAAAGCGUGGGGAGCAAACAGGAUUAGAUACCCUGGUA
rnacentral:rRNA from 1 species